rnacentral:rRNA from 1 species
AGUCGAACGGUAACAGGAAGAUUGUGCUGCUUUGCUGACUAGUGGCGGAUGGGUGAGUAAUGUCUGGGAAACUGCCUGAUGGAGGGGGAUAACUACUGGAAACGGUAGCUAAUACCGCAUAGAGGCACAAGACCAAAGAGGGGGACCUUCGGGCCUCUUGCCAUCGGAUGUGCCCAAAUGGGAUUAUCUUGUAGGUGGGGUAACGGCUCACCAAGGCGACGAUCCCUACCUGGUCUGAGAGGAUGACCAGCCACACUGGAACUGAGACACGGUCCAGACUCCUACGGGAGGCAGCAAUGGGGAAUAUUGCACAAUGGGCGCAAGCCUGAUGCAGCCAUGCCGCGUGUAUGAAGAAGGCCUUCGGGUUGUAAAGUA